UACCAUGCUGAAUAUACCGGUGCUCGUUAGGUCACCGAAGUCAAUCAUCAUUGGCCGCGGUCAGUACUAGGGGGGUAGCCACCUGGGAACACCGCGUGCCGUU